rnacentral:tRNA from 1 species
GAGGGUAUAGCUCAAGUGGUAGAGUGCAUGCUUAGCAUGCAUGAGGUGCUGGGUUCAAUUCACGGUAUCUCCU